rnacentral:rRNA from 1 species
CAGCACCUCAAGUGGUCAGGAUGAUUAUUGGGCCUAAAGCAUCCGUAGCCGGCGCUGUAAGUUUUCGGUUAAAUCUGUACGCUCAACGUACAGGCUGCCGGGAAUACUGCAGCGCUAGGGAGUGGGAGAGGUAGACGGUACUCGGUAGGAAGGGGUAAAAUCCUUUGAUCUAUUGAUGACCACCUGUGGCGACGGCGGUCUACCAGAACACGUCCGACGGUGAGGGAUGAAAGCUGGGGGAGCAAACCGGAUUAGAGACCCGAGUAGUCC